GGGGAAUAUUGCACAAUGGGCGAAAGCCUGAUGCAGCGACGCCGCGUGGAGGAUGAAGGCCUUCGGGUCGUAAACUCCUGUCUGGGGGGAUGAAUACUGACAGUACCCCCGGAGGAAGCCCCGGCUAACUACGUGCCAGCAGCCGCGGUAAUACGUAGGGGGCGAGCGUUGUCCGGAAUUACUGGGCGUAAAGCGCGCGCAGGCGGCUUGUUAAGUCAGGUGUCAAAAUGCGGGACUCAACCCCGUAUCGCACUUGAUACUGGCAGGCUUGAGUGCAGGAGAGGGAAGUGGGAUUCCUAGUGUAGCGGUGAAAUGCGUAGAUAUUAGGAGGAACACCAGUGGCGAAGGCGACUUCCUGGACUGUAACUGACGCUGAGGCGCGAAAGCUAGGGGAGCAAAC
rnacentral:rRNA from 1 species